rnacentral:tRNA from 1 species
AAGACGCUAGUAAAAUGAGUAUUACACUGCUUUGUCAGGGCAGUAUUGUAGGUUGAAUUCCUACGUGUCUUG